AGCUCCUGCUCUGAGGAUGUGGAAAUCUCCCUCCACCGGUGCCUGCUUGCUUGUCUCCAGGGCUGGACCAUCCCCCAGCAGCAGCUGGAGGGCAUUGCAGACAAUCUGUUCCCAACGGCCUGUGAAGGGAAGGGAUGAGGUGGAGGACUGGCCAGGGGAGGUCACUCACCCCAGCCCAUCAGUGCCUCAGCCUCAGAGCUGCUCCCAGAUGCUGGAUUAAAUGGUUUCUUUUUUAAA